GCGUGUAUGUGUGCGUGCGCGGGUGGUGUCUGGGCUGUCUCCAGGGCACACCAAUGGGAAGGACCCAUCAGAAGAGAAGAUGCAUGGUCCAGGCUCUGUCAUGGACAGACAAACAGCCUUGGACAGAUGACUUCAUCUGGGUCCGUUUGUUUAGCUGUCUCCAAAAGGAAAUUCUGCCCAGACCAGGCGAGGGGAAAUUUUCAAGGAACUGGAUGGAGCUCGAAGCAUCUUCUCCAGCAGAUCCAAUAUGUGGUCCUCCAAGCGGCAGCCUGGGGACUCACGGUCUGGCAGCCAGGAUGCCCCUGCAGACCUGGUGCAGGACCGGCUGAGGUGGGCUGAUAGCCGGCUGCCGUUCCACAGGCCCAGGGGCUUGCGGAAGGCACAUGGGUCACAGCCCAGCCUCCAGGAGGAGGAGACUUAGACACCAGGACAAGUGCACCCUUUUGCAAAGUCCCGAGGCAAGGAUACUGGAGGAAGAUGAUCCUGCAUUGGGUGGAUAUGAAGGCAUUCGGUUUGGAUGGAUGCACUAAGCAGCAGGCCAAUGCAAUAUUACCUGCAGAUCCCGGCAAAGACUCAGAAAGUCCAGUUGGCACCUUGGGCAGGGAUGGCGGCCCUCUGCUCCAUCUAGUCAUUCAGGGAAGGGCUGCUGUUGUUGACAUGAGGAGUUAAGGUCAUCCCAGGAGGGUGAGGACAGCACAAGCAGGACUGGGCAACAGGCGUCUGCAACCUACACCCAGACCCUGGCUUUUACUGUCAGGGAGGUGAGAGGUCAAGGAAGAGGGAGGCCAUAGUGCAAGGAAUCUCGUGGAUGGAGAUGAUGAGGUCAGAACUGGGAUGCACAGGCAACUCAUGAUCAAGACACCAAAAUCUUCAGUGCCUGAGAGGACGUGGUUGACCAGAGGGGCUCAUUAAUCACCUCUCUGUUCCUCCUGCUUUGUGCUCUGGUGUGUAUGUAUAAUAAACGUUUUAAAAUGCA